rnacentral:rRNA from 1 species
AUGGCCGCGCCCCGCCCCACCGUCCUCGUCACCGGCGCCGGCGGCCGCACAGAUACCCUUUCCCUCCUUCCUUCCCCGCCCGUUUCUCCGACCAAAACCCGACGAAUCCGCCUGCCACGACGGGCAAUUCCGGUCCUAACGCUCGUCGAGUCGAUCGCAGGCCAAAUCGUGUUCAGCAAGCUCAGGGAGAGAUCCGACCAGUUCGCGGCGAGGGGCCUGGUGAGGUCGGAGGAGAGCAAGCAGAAGAUCGGGGGAGCCGACGACGUCUACGUGGCCGACAUCAGGGAGGCGGAGCACCUCGCGCCCGCCGUGCAGGGCGCCGACGCGCUCGUCAUCCUCACCAGCGCCUCCCCCAAGAUGAAGCCGGGGUUCGACCCCACCAAGGGCGGCCGGCCCGAGUUCUACUACGAGGACGGAGCCUACCCUGAGCAGGUGGACUGGAUUGGGCAGAAGAAUCAGAUUGAUGCUGCAAAAGCAGCCGGUGUGAAGCACAUAGUGUUGGUGGGAUCCAUGGGGGGAACAAAUCCCAACCAUCCAUUGAACAGCCUUGGCAAUGGCAAUAUACUGGUCUGGAAGCGCAAGUCUGAACAGUAUCUGGCAGACAGUGGAGUUCCUUAUACAAUCAUAAGGCCUGGUGGUCUGCAAGACAAAGAUGGGGGAGUGAGGGAGCUGAUUGUCGGGAAGGAUGAUGAGCUUCUCCAGACUGACACUAAGGCGAUUCCUAGGGCUGAUGUGGCUGAAGUUUGUGUUCAGGCCCUGCAGUAUGAAGAGGUAAAGUUCAAGGCAUUCGAUUUGGCUUCGAAGCCUGAAGGUGAGGGCACCCCAACGAAAGAUUUCAAAGCGCUGUUCUCCAAGGUCACAGCCCGGUUUUGA